ensembl:snRNA Gm26263 predicted gene, 26263
AACCUUACCUGGCAGAGGAGAUAACAUGAUCAAGAAGAUGAUUUUCCCAGGGCAAGGCUUAUCCAUUGCAAUCCAGAUGUGCUGACCCCUGAAACUUUCUCAAAUGUGAGAAACAUGACUGAAUAACUUAUGGUAGUGGGAGUUUGCAUUCAUGCUCUCCCCAA